ACUUCUUAAGAUCACAUAACAUCUAAAUCUAAAUGGUUAGCUACAUAUAAAAUUAAACGGAAGUGAGUAUUCUCUAUAAAAAAGGUGGCAAUAUACUUCAUGAAAGAUAUGCUUUUAUUUAUUUUGGAAAUAUUAUGAUAUAUUUUCUUUUAGCGUAGCAAAGCACGAACAUUUAGCUAGUACCUACAAAAGUUCUGCCAGUUUGUUCCAAAUUUUGUUCUUAAGAACUAAGAAGCAGAUACUAUAAUCUGCGUGCAUUUGGUGGACGUAUGAAGGCGUUACUUCACUAUCAAAUUUACCUUUUGAAAUCCUUUCAGUUUAUUAGCCGGAUCACGAACUUGCCCUGUUCAUGCUAGGUCCUUAAACUCCAAUAUUUAUUAAUUGAAUCUCCAAAUUUGAUAAAUUGCUCUUCUUGAGCUAUCACAUUGUUUGGGCUAAUAUGAUCUCCAAAGAAAAGUAGGUGGGUUUAUUAGUGCAGUACUCCCUCUGUCCCAAAAUAUAAGGAAUUUUGGAGGGAUGUGACAUAUUCUAGUACUAUGAAUCUAAACAGGCUCCCUGUCCAGAUUCGUAGUACUAGGAUAUAUCAUAUCCCUCCAAAAUCCCUUAUAUUAUGGGACGGAGGGAGUAUGAGUCAAAAGUCAGCCAAAACAUGGAAUUAUGCCGUGUUGCUUGUCCUCAGAUCAUCGUCCCAUCCCAGCCUUGUUUUAAAACCUUUCAAAAAUAGCAUUCCGUGUUCCUUGAUCCUGUACCUCGACUCAUAAGUGAGGAACUUUGGUGACAUGCUCAAAUCUAAAAAAUGUGCUUGCCUUUUGUGUCAUGAGUCAAAUUAUUAGCGGUAGUUUUUGUUUGGUAUUGCUGUUGGUACUCAAUGAUCAACGACCAUUUUAGUUGAGCCAUCAUGAAUGUAUACUUUUGUUGUAGUGAUCACCAAGCUAUACCUUAGAAAAUUCCUUAUGUUCCCCUGAGUCUUUGCUCCAUCCUUUCCAUGCCAUUGAGCUUUGUCUUGUCUUGCAUGCCCUAGAUUUUUUCUAAUCCCCUCUAUACACAUUGGGUGAGUUGCUUCAUAAAAAGCAUCAUUCUCAAGGUGAAAAUUGUUUCAGUUCUAAAAAAAUAGAAGGGGAUAUAAUUAUAUGACCCCAAAUUUGAAAUAUAAAAAUUAUAAUUUGAAAUGAGUUUCAAUCAAAUUUGAUGAUUUUUUUGGAGAGUAGAUUCACUUAUCUCCAUGGAAAUUUUUUCCAAUUUGGUUGAAGUUGAUUAAAAAGAUACUCCCUCUGUCCCAAAAUAUAGCAAUCUAGUACUGGAUCGAACAUAAACUUGUACUACAAAUAUGGACAAACCUCCUGUCCUGUCCAGAUUUAUAGUACUAUUAGGUUGUGUAUUCGAUACUAGGUUGCUAUAUUUUGGGACGGAGGGAGUAUUUGUUUUGGUGUCGAAGAAGAGGAGAAAUAGAAAAAUGGUGGUUUGUGUAAUUUAUGUAUUGAAAUUUCAUCAAAUUUUGUUUCAAUACAUUUGAAAAUUUCGAAAUUGAAUUUCAAAUUUUGGGUCAAACAAUUUUGUGUCAUUCAUUUUUUUUAUAAAGGUUUUAACCUCAAUAUUUAUAUGAAGCUAGAUAUGUUUGAGCGAGGUGCAAUAUAGAUAUUUUGUAAAAAUCGAAUAGUAACAAAAUGAGUUGAGGUGAUUAGUACGUAAACUCGGUGGUAUCUAGGAAUAAAGAAAGAAUCAGGAGCAUGUAUAGAAGGAUGGAGUGAAGACUUAGGCACACAAGGAAUUUUCUUAUACAUUUUGCAAGAGCAGCAUUAUGUUUGGCUCAUGUCUCAUAUUAUAGCUAUGGUGACCGCUCACUGCAAAACAAGACAAGUUAUUCUUUUCUUGGAUUGUAUAUUUAAAAGCAUUGCCUUGCCCAAAAAGAUCCAAAAUCAUAAUGUCCAUUAGGUUGGUUGUUUGUCAUUUCUAUUAAAUAAAAUAUAGAUACAUCCAAUUUAUUCAAAUGCAAUGUAUCAUGUGGAUAUAUAUGAAGUCGAAAGAUGCAACAAACUCUCUUGCACAUGUUCGUUAUUCAUAGAGAAUAUUGUUGAAUCACCCCUUGCUUUUUUCUGAAAACAAUGUAGUCUAUUCAUCUUUGUCUUGGGAAGUAUUAAAAAGUUAAUAACAAUAUAUUUUUUUUGUCUAUCACUUCUUCUUUUGCAAAGAGAAGUACAACUGAUUGGUUUUUUAUAAGCUAUUCUAGUUAACAUCACGUAGUGUUUGGAAUGUUUUAAGACCUUACCAACCAAAAGUAUCCACAAAUAAAAAUAACAUGUACUCCCUCCGUCCCAUAAUAUAAGGGAUUUCGGGAUGGGGCGCACACUGGUGCGUGUGUGUUUUUCCACAUGAACCACUAGUUUCUGGGUUCUUCCCCUUGCUUCCGAAACCGUCACACCAAACACCAUUAUUUUAUAUGGAACACAUUAAAUUCCUUCCUAGAAAAGGGAACCCAAAACUGAAUAAAUACGCCAACGGAGCUAGCCAUGGGGAGCAUAAGUUUCAUUUGCCAUGUGAGUGCCCGUGAGUUUUUCCCUUUCUACAAUUCAUCUUCCAUAGAAACUGUGGUGGAUGGAUCUCAAGAGGAGAGAUGAAGGAGCUGAAGAAAGCUUUGUCAAACCACUGCAACUUAAGGUGAAGGAUUACCCUUUACUUGGAGUCCAUAUCUCGGAAUGCCAGAUCUAUGACCUAGAGAACCACAUGAUCUGUUACCAGAAAAGAAGAGAUUUCACAAUGAUUAGCUCUCAGCACAAGAGGAGGCCAUGUGAAAAUAAAUACUGUCGUGAGUACCUGGUGAACAUAUGCAACCAGAGUGCAGAAGGGGUGGCGCAGAAGGUCUGGAACUUCUCCAAAUGCAGGGGCAUGUGUAGUUACCGUUUAUACAGAAAGAAGAAUUGGGAGAUGCUGGCAGAGAUACUGGAUCAUGCUGUCAAUACGUUGGGUUACACUUCCGUCCAUAAAUUGUUGAACAAGGGUUCAUAUGUGGUGGCUGUUGCAGAGAUGUUGACAUCAACCCCUCUAGAGAUCUGGGAUCUCUGUUUUGCCCAAGCACUUUCUUCCAUGGAAAUUGUGAUGGCUGGCAAGGCUUGCCACCAGUGCCGUCAAAUGAAACGAAACUUUGCAGUGGCAUGCACGCAGGUUAAGAAGGGGGUAUGCCCAAUAAAAUACUGCCAUAGGUGCCUUCUUAAGAGGUAUGAUGAGAAUGAUGAAGAAGUGGGACAGAUGGAAGCCUGGAUCUGCCCAAAAUGUAGAGGCAUCUGCAACUGCAGCUGCUGCAGAAGGAAGAAAGGACAACAACCCACAGGGAGAUUGGUCCACACUGCCAAGAAAGGAGAACAAGGGGCUGCCGAUGAGGAAAGCACAGGUAGAUCCCUUCGGAUAGAGAAUUCUGUUGAAGAAUUGCUGGUCGAGGGGGAUCAAAUAAAGCUGAAGGGCAACAUUGUGGUGAAUAAAAAUUUUGAUGGUGAAAGCUCCUUGGCUAAAGACAAAAAUGGAUCUAUAUUGGGCUAUAAUAGCGCAGUUUCUUCACCCAAUAAAAAAGUGCUUCCAAGGGGUAGUCUGGUCACUAACAUUCUAGGUGCAGAUCUGGAGGUGAAAGAUGUUGGACCAGCAAUUCAGUUAUACGAGUUCUGCAAUUCAUUUGGCGAGAUUUUCCAGAUAAGGAAGGGCCAACCUGAACAAAUUCUACAAGACAUAGCAAGAGAUCAAGAGGUUGAAAUAGUACCCGAGCUUAUUGCUGGCUUUCACAAAAACUUGCUAUCGGUCAUCAAAGAAGACAGAGGGGAGAAGAAUUCAAUCUACAUAACAAAUGGAGAUGCAUGGUUAAAUGAUUUAGGUGCAUAUAUCAAUGAAUUGGCAUUUAUGUCAAAGGAAUUGCAUCUUGAAUUUGUAAACAAGGGAACAUUGGGAUACAACAAGCUGAGUCCUUGUAAGCUGCAUGUACUUAAUUUACUUUGCGAUGAGGCCCUCUCUACCGUAAAGUUAAGAAAAUUGAUUGAAGAACAAAAUGGAAGGGCAGCUGAAAGAAGGAACGAUGCCAAAGCAAAACUGCGGGCUGCAAAAGCAAAGGAAAAGGAACUAAGAGAAGGGUUAAAGAAUGACAUGAAAGAAGGAGCAACCCCUAUUGAAGGAAACAGAAAUCAGCUUAUUUCUGAUAUAAAGAAGGCAAAGGAAGUCAAGCUGACAGCCAUAAAAGAGAAGAAGCUGGGAACUGUCCUUAGGAGCAAGCCUUUGAUGUUAGAGGACAGGGAGGCAUACUGGAAGCUGGAUGGCUAUUCGAACAACAAGAUGCUAUUGCUGCAAGAAUUUGAUAAUGAGAAUUUCACUGGAAAUGACAUCUGGUUUGAGUUCACUGAAGAUGAAGAAAAAACAAUUGAAAAUCAUGCAGCCAUAAGCCCCCAUCUCCUCUGCCGCAAGUCAUCAUCGGCCUAAAGUCAGUAUCGGCUUCAGAGUCUUGGAAUUGGAAUCGACCGAUGGGAGUUAUCAAAUCGCCAGCAGUUGUGUUCAUGGUGGAGUCAGAUCAAUUAAAGGAAAUUUAUCCAAAAGAUUGAGUUCAAGGAGAAGAGUUCGAGUUCAAGGAGUAUGCGGCAUGGCAAGUUAUCUAUUAAUUAGGAAUAGUUUGUUAGUUCUUUUUAUCUUUAGGAAAGUGUUUAGUGUCUGAUAAGAACUUAAUGUUUUCUUUUUAUCUUUAGGAAAGUUUCUCUUGUCCUUGUCCUACAAGGACAAGUAUCUCCCCAUGGGUAUAAAUAUGUACACCCGGAGUCAUUACGCGGGAUACAUCGGCUUUCGAUCUCCGGUGAAGGGGUAAGUCCUACGUUUCGUCGGCACUGGUGAAUCUAUCGACUACAUUGGUGUUCAAGGCUGCAUCGCUUCGAUCUCUUGGAUCGCUCUGGUUUGGUUGAUAUAUUUACCUACAUGAUGUUAGAAUUUCAAUGGUUACUCUCAUUGAGAAGAGGAUGGCACUCGAGAUGGGGCAAUUUUCUGGUUUUCUUCAUUCACUAAACACAAAAGCCAUACCUUCCCGAGGGAGGUUGGAUACAUAUAUAUAGCCAUAGCUGGCUGGAUGGCUGCUAGCUAAUUGCUGCCCACACUAGUCUAAAAUUUGAACGCAAUGCUGUCCUAGAGAGCAUCCAAACUGAAUAAAGCAUAAAGGAGAUGCUAGAUGUUGUCCUAGGGAUGCUAAAAGCAAAACCGAAAGAUGCUAAAAGCAAAACUGAAAGGAUGCUGUCCUAAAAGAGGAAAAACAACCUAAAAGCAAGAGAAGGACCACAAGGACCAAAGACCACAAGGCUUAUUCCAUCACAUGAUAUCUCAAUUCUAUCUUUAGUUGCAUUGUGUUUAGAGAUUUGCAUAUUUUGUCAGUUGCAGGGUCAAACUGACUGGCAUGCUCGCACCUCACCAAGAUUUGGACCUGCAUUCUAAGCAGAUCUUCUAGGGUAGUGUGUGUUUUUCGCGUCAACACAUUUUUGGCACGUCCAGUGGGACACAAGUUUUGCACCCAACAUGUCUGAAGAGGAAGUCAAUGCUAAGAAGAAACAAUCUACUAUGUCGAUGGUUGAAACACUUCAAGCUACAGUCGAUGAAGUAGUUCAUCGUGCAUUGUUCGAACAAUCUGGAGUUUUGGUGGAUAUAUUGCAAAAUUUGAUCAAAAUGACGGUUGAUGAGUUAAUUGUUUAAAGGCGCCAGCUCGGGGGGCAAACAUAUCAGUAUCAGCAGUAUGUUAGCUGACAAGUGCAGGGAGAUCGAUGUUUUUUUUUAUAAAAAUCUUCUUUCAGGGUAGAUCGAUGUUGAUCUAGACCAAUAAGCA